UGCAGUCGAACGACAUAGUGGCAGACGGGUGAGUAACGCGUGGGAACGUACCCUUCACUACGGAAUAGCUUCUGGAAACGGAAGGUAAUACCGUAUACGCCCUUCGGGGGAAAGAUUUAUCGGUGAAGGAUCGGCCCGCGUUAGAUUAGUUUGUUGGUGGGGUAAUGGCCUACCAAGACUACGAUCUAUAGCUGGUCUGAGAGGAUGAUCAGCCACACUGGGACUGAGACACGGCCCAGACUCCUACGGGAGGCAGCAGUGGGGAAUCUUGCACAAUGGGCGAAAGCCUGAUGCAGCCAUGCCGCGUGAAUGAUGACGGCCUUAGGGUUGUAAAAUUCUUUCGCCAGGGAUGAUAAUGACAGUACCUGGUAAAGAAGCCCCGGCUAACUUCGUGCCAGCAGCCGCGGUAAUACGAAGGGGGCUAGCGUUGUUCGGAAUUACUGGGCGUAAAGCGCGCGUAGGCGGGCUAUUAAGCCAGAUGUGAAAGCCCGGGGCUCAACCCCGGAAUUGCAUUUGGAACUGGUAGCCUAGAGACCAGGAGAGGUUAGCGGAAUACCGAGUGUAGAGGUGAAAUUCGUAGAUAUUCGGUGGAACACCAGUGGCGAAGGCGGCUAACUGGACUGGUACUGACGCUGAGGCGCGAAAGUGUGGGGAGCAAACAGGAUUAGAUACCCUGGUAGUCCACACCGUAAACGAUGAAUGCUAGUUGUCUGCGCGCAUGCGUGCAGGUGACGCAGCUAACGCAUUAAGCAUUCCGCCUGGGGAGUACGGCCGCAAGGUUAAAACUCAAAGAAAUUGACGGGGGCCCGCACAAGCGGUGGAGCAUGUGGUUUAAUUCGAAGCAACGCGCAGAACCUUACCCGCGUUUGACAUGCCCUGUUUGGUUACCAGAGAUGGUUUCCUUCAUUUAGUUGGCAGGUGCAC
rnacentral:rRNA from 1 species